UGACGGGGGCCCGCACAAGCGGUGGAGUAUGUGGUUUAAUUUGACGCAACGCGAAGAACCUUACCAGGUCUUGACAUUGAUGGACAGAACUAGAGAUAGUUCCUCUUCUUCGGAAGCCAGAAAACAGGUGGUGCACGGUUGUCGUCAGCUCGUGUCGUGAGAUGUUGGGUUAAGUCCCGCAACGAGCGCAACCCCUAUCUUAUGUUGCCAGCACUUUGGGUGGGAACUCAUGAGAGACUGCCGCAGACAAUGCGGAGGAAGGCGGGGAUGACGUCAAAUCAUCAUGCCCCUUAUGACCUGGGCUACACACGUACUACAAUGGGAGUUAAUAGACGGAAGCAAUACCGCGAGGUGGAGCAAACCCGAGAAACACUCUCUCAGUUCGGAUCGUAGGCUGCAACUCGCCUACGUGAAGUCGGAAUCGCUAGUAAUCGCAGGUCAGCAUACUGCGGUGAAUACGUUCCCGGGCCUUGUACACACCGCCCGUCAGCACUCACCGCCCGUCUGCACUCACCGCCCGU
rnacentral:rRNA from 1 species